GUAAAUUACCCACCACUUCCCUGAGGGUGAGUGGGGGCUUUUAAAGCCCAGAGUUUACCCGACUAAGUGUUAAAUCACUAGGAUUUUCAGGUCAUCUCACCUACAAAUACGCAGCCAGUUUGUAGCUGCUGAG
rnacentral:sRNA from 14 species